AUACUUACCUGGCAGGGGAGAUACCGCGAUCACGAAGGUGUUUUUCCCAGGGCGAGGCUUAUCCAUAGUACUCCGUAUGUGCUGACCCCUGCGAUUUCCCCAAAUGUGGGAAACUCGACUGCAUAAUUUGUGGUAGUGGGGGACUACGUUCGCGCUUUCCCCUG
ensembl:snRNA U1 U1 spliceosomal RNA